AGAUCAGCCCUGGGGUUCAGAGGGAUCCUGACGGCUACUCCUCAAGAUCCUCUCUGUUGUGAUUCAUCCCCCCCAGGCCCUACAGUUUCUCCUUCCUGACUCUUACAUUUCUUUGGAUGGCAUCACUAUUUACCUGUCUCCUCCCAUAGUUAGUUGCCAAGCACUGUGGAUUCUACCCCUCAGGGUCCAGACACCCAUUUUCCUUCCCACUGUUCCCUCCCCAUGGAGAAGCCUGUGGCUGACUGACAGCUCAACUUGGAGAAGGUGUUACCUGGGCCAGGUGGGGAAGGUAGGGUUGUUUGCAGAGCAAAGAAGUGAAGGAAGUAUUAACCCUUUGCAUGGCCUCCUGAGAAUCUGACAAGACCCUAUUCAAUGUGAAAAAGAUGAGGGCGAAGACCUUUAUGAUGAUCCAAGUAAUGAACACACUGGAGAAAGUCAAACAGUCAAAACAAUGUCCCAGACUCCGUGAAGUUCCUGGGUAGAGAAGUAGACAGACGUACACCAUACCUAAUAAUUGGAGGUCCAAGAGAAUGAGAGAAUGGCAGAAAGAACUUUAGAGCAUGGGUAUGAUGGCUAGAGCUUGAGCAGCCAUUGUGGACAUCAGAUGAACCUGAAAGUGAAAACUAUGAGCUGAAUAUGACAAAGCAAAUAGAAAACUGGAUUCAUGAUGACACUGCAAAGCUGCCAGACCAGCUCUAGUCUGCUUCUCCCUAAUCUUCCUUACUAAGAGAGAGAAAUAAACUUCCAUCUUCUU
rnacentral:antisense_RNA from 1 species